rnacentral:rRNA from 1 species
UACGUAGGUGGCAAGCGUUGUCCGGAUUUACUGGGCGUAAAGAGCGCGCAGGCGGUCGUCCAAGUCGCGUGUGAAAGCCCCCGGCUCAACUGGGGAGGGUCACGCGAUACUGGUCGACUCGAAGGCAGGAGAGGGUAGUGGAAUUCCCGGUGUAGCGGUGAAAUGCGCAGAUAUCAGGAGGAGCACCGAUGGCGAAGGCAGGUCUCUGGGCAUUAACUGACGCUGAGGAGCGAAAGCAUGGGGAGCGAACAGG